rnacentral:sRNA from 1 species
GGUACAUCUCAACCAUUUAUAGCACGAGUACUCAGAGUACUGGUGAUUUUUUUCUCAAUCACCUUUCCUUUCACCAGCUAAGAUUUGUUUUCAUUCCUCGGCUUUCUUAUUCCACUUUUCAGGGUGGUCAACCGUUUGCAGAUCACACUGGCUUACGUUCAUCGGUUCAGGCUUGAUCUCAUAUAGGUAAUUCCUUGCAUUAACUCGUCCAUUGCAAUGCGAUCUGCAGCGCCGCCGAGAAGAAUCAUAACCAGCCUUUUUAGCUCUUCAAGUUUCUGAAGAUGAUCUAUAUGAGAUAAGACAAGGUCAAAGGUUAAAUAAAUGCAGCCGCGGAAGGCAGAUGGCAUGAGUUUUCCCAUCCAAAGCAUUCGAGACGACUGUUACACAGCACAGAUCCUUAGUUGAUUCGAAUGCGUUCAGGCUAUAGACCUCAACGGGGUUCCCAUCCAAUAAUGAGAGUGCAGCGGCUUGUUUGCUUUUUACAGAUCAAAGAUGGAAUCCGUUAUUACUAUUCCAUAUGAGAAAAUUAGAGGUAUUUUUUUCUUUUCAUGAACCUAGGCUGGAUAUUAGAGAAUUAAUACAUAGCUAUUAUUUAUCAUGCUCCAUAUUACCCUCUCAUAGCCUGAGGGAG